GCAAGUGAUAAAGCAAAAUUUGGAAUUAUUAUCAGACAUAAAAGUUUUAAAAAGACAUCACACGUUGACGAUGCAAAACAACUUAUAUAAAAGACCCGAUGGUUUUCCAUUAAAAACGAUUGAAGAAUUUUAAAAUUUAGAAGCUGAUACAGACCGUCUGCAAGAAUUGCUAACAUAUCUUAAAUUUGUCGGUGGCCUAAAAUUAAGAGAAGCUCUCAGCCAUUUUCAAAAAGAAACGAUGACAGAUGAGUUAACGUGCAAAUUUACUUAUUGGGGUCAAACGAAGGAGUCGUUAGCCUUUUAUAAUACACAAAUUGCAAAAAGUGUUUUUUUAUGCGGCAAAAAUGUGUCCAAAUUUUAAAGGGCCUGAAAGUAGGGCUGAAUUCAAAUUGGAAAUUAUGGAGGUUUUUCGAGCUGCCAAACAACGACAACAUUUAAGAAGUAAAAGUAUUGCGGUAAUUGUAGAAGAGGAAGAAAUGUCGGAUUUUUCAUGCAAUAAUAAUUUAUUCAAAGACAUGCCUGAAAUGGACAGUAUUAAGAUUGUGAUGACAAUACUGAAAACUGUAAUGCGUCCUCUGAAAGUGAUUAAUGUUAUAGAAAGAGAGAAAUCGCGGAAGGGAGACAUGUUAAGAUACAUGGAACUUAAUAUUGAGAUUUGUUAGUUGAUUUUUAAUUGAUAAGUUUUGUUUAUUAUUAAAGUUUAUUACUAAAAUU